AGUGCAAAAUCGUGAUAAGUGAGG
rnacentral:miRNA from 1 species